rnacentral:rRNA from 1 species
UAAGGAAUAUUGGUCAAUGGAGGCAACUCUGAACCAGCCAUGCCGCGUGCAGGAAGACAGCCCUAUGGGUCGUAAACUGCUUUUAUCCGGGAAUAAACCUCAGGUCGUGACCUGAGCUGAAUGUACUGGAAGAAUAAGGAUCGGCUAACUCCGUGCCAGCAGCCGCGGUAAUACGGAGGAUCCAAGCGUUAUCCGGAUUUAUUGGGUUUAAAGGGUGCGUAGGCGGCCUGUUAAGUCAGAGGUGAAAGACGGUAGCUCAACUAUCGCAGUGCCUUUGAUACUGAUGGGCUUGAAUAAACUAGAGGUAGGCGGAAUGAGACAAGUAGCGGUGAAAUGCAUAGAUAUGUCUCAGAACACCGAUUGCGAAGGCAGCUUACUAUGGUUUUAUUGACGCUGAGGCACGAAAGUGUGGGGAUCAAACAGG